UACGGGGGGGGCAAGCGUUGUUCGGAAUUACUGGGCGUAAAGGGCGCGUAGGCGGCCAUCUAAGUCAGACGUGAAAUCCCCCGGCUCAACCUGGGAACUGCGUCUGAUACUGGACGGCUUGAGUUUGGGAGAGGGAUGUAGAAUUCCAGGUGUAGCGGUGAAAUGCGUAGAUAUCUGGAGGAAUACCGGUGGCGAAGGCAGCUCGCUGGGACGGUACUGACGCUAAGGCGCGAAAGCGUGGGGAGCAAACAGG
rnacentral:rRNA from 1 species